rnacentral:misc_RNA from 1 species
AUAUUAUUUUAAACCAAGUUGUGCUCUAUGAGUUUAAAAGCAAUGCAGUUGACAGGAAUUGGCCUGUAUUUACCGGCCUUGGAUUUUGGAUUUUUCUUAAAUAUGGGAGCGACGACUGAACUUUUCCAGUCUGAGAUUUUCAUCAACAAUGAAUGGGUAGACUCUGUCAGUGGGAAGACCUUCCCGACAAUACAUCCGGGAAAUGGAAAGAAAAUUUGUGAUGUUCAAGAAGGCGAUAAGGCAGACAUAGAUAAAGCGGUUGAAGCCGCAAAGAAAGCAUUCGAGUUUGGUUCACCAUGGCAAAAGAUGGACGCCACGAAGAAAGGUGCUCUGAUGCAUAAGUUCGCCGAUCUGAUUGAAAGAGACAAAUUGUAUAUUGCUAGUCUUGAAACAUUGGACAAUGGCAUGGCAUUUAGAGAUGCCUACGGUGGGGACAUGCCGAUGGUUGUGGAUAUAUUUAGGUACUAUGCUGGUUGGACAGAUAAGAUACAAGGACGAACCGUACCUAUAGACGGAACGUUCUUUUGCUAUACGCGGCAUGAACCUGUUGGUGUGUGUGGACAGAUUAUACCGUGGAACUUUCCACUUACUCUGUUUGCGUUGAAGGUCGCCCCUGCCCUUGCUUGUGGAAACACAGUAGUAGUUAAACCCGCGGAACAGACACCAUUGAGCGCCCUUUACGCAGCUCAGCUGUUAAAAGAGGCUGGAUUCCCUCCAGGCGUUGUUAACGUAGUUGCGGGAUAUGGACCUACGGCUGGUGCUGCCAUUUCUGAGCAUCCGGAUAUCAAUAAAAUUUCCUUUACUGGAUCAACAGAGGUUGGUCAAAGAAUAAUGGCUGCUGCAGCUAAAUCAAACCUAAAACGAGUUACCCUAGAGCUUGGAGGGAAAAGUCCAUUGGUCGUUUGGAAAGACGCAAAUUUGGACACAGUAGUGGAAUGGGCACAACAGGCUAUUUUCUUUAACUGCGGACAAGUUUGCACAGCUGGAUCUAGGACAUACGUACAUGAAGAUAUCUACGACGAAUUUGUUAAAAAAGCUACAGCUCGUGCACAAACAAAAAUUACUGGCGACCCCUUUGAUAGUAAAAGUGAAUACGGACCGCUGAUCAGUGAGGAACAGUUCAGUAAGGUUCUUGAUCUCAUAGAGAGUGGCAAACAGGAAGGAGCUAAUCUUGAAUGUGGAGGCCAGAGACAUGGCACUGAAGGGUACUUCAUACAACCGACUGUAUUUUCUAAUGUGACAGAGAAAAUGAGGAUUGGAAGGGAGGAGAUAUUUGGUCCGGUACAGUCUAUAAUCAAAUUCAAAGAUAUGGAAGAUGUUGUGGCACGUGCAAACGAUACGAAAUACGGCCUUGCAGCAGCGAUAUUUACCGAGGACAUUGAUACUGCCCUAACAUUUACCAGCAGGGUGAAGGCCGGCACAGUGUGGGUUAAUUGCUACUUAAUUGCGUCAACAGCAGCUCCGUUUGGAGGAUUUAAGAUGUCCGGUAUUGGACGUGAAUUUGGAGAAUAUGGACUUCAAGCGUACACGGAAGUGAAAAAUGUUAUUAUGAAGACUUCAGUAAAGCUGUGAAGUCCAUGACUGAAAUGGGGCUAAACUUUCAUCGAGACAUCAGUUCUUGUUAUAUUUCAAAUCGAUGGACCAAUUUGACUUUUUUAUUUGAACAGAAUAUAUAUCACUUUCCUGUUUCCUAUGUACAUUAAUGAUCUGGAAGAUACUUUUAUGCUAAAAGGGUUUCAUGGUAUUUGUCGAGGAAUGUUCAAAUGAUUUUAACUAUUUUAUGCCGACGACAUCGCUAAUACAUCGGAAACAACAGAGGAACCCCAAUAUGUUCUAGAUGUAUUAACAUAAUAUUGCGACAAAUAAAAGAUUACUGUUUACAAAAAUGCAAAUAAAACAAAAGUGUAAUGGUUUUUAAAGAAAAGGGGACUAAGAUUUUAUAUGGAAAUGUUGAAAUUGAAAUGAUUAAUAAUUUACAAAUUUAGGGAUUGUUUUUACCAACGGUGGAUCCUUUUCGAAAACAUAUGAAGCUCUAGCAGGGCAGGCAAGAAAUGCGAUUUUUAAGCUUAAAAUGUGCAUACAAACUUUUCUUUUUUUUUAGUUUUGCACACACUAGAUCUUUAAGAUAAACUAAGUAUACCGAUUGUAAACUAUGGACGUGAUGUAUGGGGCUUUAAAGAAUCAAAACAGUUACAAAAUGUUUAUUUGCAGUUUUGCAAAGAUUAAUCUGGUGAACAGUUACGAACACAAAAUUCGUUUGUAUGUGGAGAGUUAGUGCGAGAACAUUUAAUAAACCCUAGACUGUGUCAGGUAAUAAAGUCCCGGUAUAAAAUAUUGAAGUCGGAAAGAAACACAGGUCAAUUAGAAAAAUCCAAAUCAUGGUGGUAUAUGAUAUGGAGCUUAAACCAAAUAAUAUGUUUUAGAAAAAAUCAGUCAAAUUAAUUGUAACUAAAGGGUCUGUUAUAUUCUUUCAUAUAUACAUGAUUUUUUUUAUGAAUAAUUGAGGUAAGACUUACCUACAAUUGAACUUUACAUGGAAAUCCUGGUGACAUGUGAAAUCCUGGUGACAUGUGAAAUCCUGUGUUGUGAACUGACCUUACCUUAACUUGCCAAAUUGGAGUGAACUUAUUAGAGCUGAACAUUUUAUGCAUGAAAACCACAUAAACUUUUGAAAUGCUUACCCUUUUGACAGAAAGUUGUCAGUCUUCUCAGAUUUCAUUGCUACGAAAAACUUCACUGGCGGAAAUGUUUGAAAUCCGCCCACUUCAAUAUUUCCCCAUAUGAUUCCAUUUAUAGUCACAGUUUCUACCGAAGAACAAUUUAUGAUCUGUAUUUAUUUGUAAUGUAUUAUUGUUAAGGUAGUUCUGCACUUUUGAUAAACCGGAAGUGAUGGCGUAACGUCAUUUAUCCGGAAAACGUAGAAUAAUGCCUGGAUUCGGCGUACGGAAACGAAAAUCAGUUUGUGAAUUAAGGACAGCCUGUGAGUAAAUGUGUUAAAAUGUCACUGUUACUAUCUUUCUAAAGUUAAAAUAUGAUAUUAAAACAUCUUACACGCUAAA